UAUCACUAUUCCCUGUUCUCUUUCUCUAUCACCAUGAGUAAUUCAAACAGUACAGGUCUGAAGGGAAAGUGACAAUCUUUCUAGCAACUAGAGAGAUUGAAAUUUCAUAGUGAUGAGAAGGGCAGAAGGAACUGACCAAUGACUGAGGAGGAGAGGCAGCAUCUGCAGGAACUGGACCAUAGGCUUGUAGAAUGUUGGAAUUGGAAGGGGAGCACUGAGGCCAGUGUCAUGGCCAGCAUGGAUGACCUGAGGAGCAAGGAGUGACCUUUGGGAAUGAUCUUCAGGACCCCAGACUAGCAGAAGGUCUCAUCUAGCAGUAAUGCUGACUUUGGAGAUGAACUAUUAGAACCAAUGCUACGUACAAAGAUCUUCUCCAAAACCUUCGUGAGAGGAGAAAAGGAAGAGUAAAUUCUACAGACAUUUUCCCACAUUUGACAAGGAAGAAACGGAUCCAGAGAGAGACUGAGGGGUGUACCCACAGACCACAUAGCUAGUGAACCAUCUUUAUGAAGCUCCCCAACCUUUCCUGGUAUUAAGAUAAGAGGUCCUGUUUCUGUGGUGUAUCAUUCGUCUCUCCUGGCUGAUGAAGAUUUUGUCUAGAGAGCUUAGAUAUCAGCUCUGGGGUCAACCUUAUAUUCAAGUGAGAGGGGUAGUGGUCAUCUGUGGAGGGCACAAAAACUUGAAGGACACAAGAAAGUCCUAAUUCCCUAUGGAAACUCAAUGGUCUACUAAAAAUCCCGUCAUAUUUUAGAGAUGCUGACUUUCCCAAGAAGACUUGAAUAAGACUAUAUUGAGGUCCAAAUCAUUAGCACCCUAUCUACUGUCUUAGCUGAAUUAAUACUGGAAUGGAAGAGUUGAAGAUGCCCCAGUUCUUGCUACUUCUUGGAGAGCAAAAGGUAAGUUCCUUUUGACCUAGAAUUGAGUGAACUGAUCUCAGAAGAAUAUAGGAUAACCACACCAUGACUAAGACCCAAGAUUCUGAGUUUGUAGGACAUCCUCAUCAGCUGUUCUCCAAAUGCAGGCACGUAGAAGCAAAGGGGUUAGAUAAGGGAAUCACAUUGGAUCAGGAAUGAGGGAGAGAGACAGAGGGAAAGAAAUGGGUUGCUACCCUGUUAGAGUUCUGCUGAACAAGAAAGUAUGGAGAAAGAAGAGAAAGUAUGUUAUGCUUUUCCCUCUGGCAUGUGGAAAAGUCCUGGUGACUUCAAAGCACUGAAUAGGCUCUGAUUAGGCUCUAUUUCAUGCUUUGGAAAAAUGAAUAAAGUGGUAUGUGAGCACCUAACAGUACACAUGCUUAAUUACCCUCUGGCUAUGGACCAUGCCAAUGAAGAAAGGUUGGCAAACACCUACAUUCUUCUCCUACACACAGAAAUGGAUAAAGUCACUAGAUUGAAACAAACCAUCCAUGGAAAUCAGAAUCUGAAUUAGAGCAAGGAUUCAAGAAAGGGAGUGAGUAGAGGAACAGAUAUCCUGAAAUUUCCUUAGCUUGUGCCAAGUUUUCCAGGGCCACGGAGUUACCACAGGAGUCAUGCCCUAGUGAACUUCAGCCAAGGAACCCCUCAUUCAGCUAUGGAAACUCGAAAUAUUUCUGUCCAGAGAAAAGAAAGGGAGAGAGGAGAGAUGGAGGGAAUGAAGUAUGUGUUUUAGAAUAGAUUAUAGAAUCUGAUAGUUGAAAACAUCUUUAGAAGUCACUUAUUCUACUUUCUCCUUGAUGAAAAAAAAACCUUUUGAUAUGGUUUUUAGAUAUUUCAAUCAUUAAAUAGAUCUGUGAUCUCAUCCA